rnacentral:rRNA from 1 species
UCAGUGUGUGUGUUAGUGGAAGCGUCUGGAAAGGCGCGCGAUACAGGGUGACAGCCCCGUACACAAAAAUGCACAUGCUGUGAGCUCGAUGAGUAGGGCGGGACACGUGGUAUCCUGUCUGAAUAUGGGGGGACCAUCCUCCAAGGCUAAAUACUCCUGACUGACCGAUAGUGAACCAGUACCGUGAGGGAAAGGCGAAAAGAACCCCGGCGAGGGGAGUGAAAAAGAACCUGAAACCGUGUACGUACAAGCAGUGGGAGCACGCUUAGGCGUGUGACUGCGUACCUUUUGUAUAAUGGGUCAGCGACUUAUAUUCUGUAGCAAGGUUAACCGAAUAGGGGAGCCGAAGGGAAACCGAGUCUUAACUGGGCGUUAAGUUGCAGGGUAUAGACCCGAAACCCGGUGAUCUAGCCAUGGGCAGGUUGAAGGUUGGGUAACACUAACUGGAGGACCGAACCGACUAAUGUUGAAAAAUUAGCGGAUGACUUGUGGCUGGGGGUGAAAGGCCAAUCAAACCGGGAGAUAGCUGGUUCUCCCCGAAAGCUAUUUAGGUAGCGCCUCGUGAAUUCAUCUCCGGGGGUAGAGCACUGUUUCGGCAAGGGGGUCAUCCCGACUUACCAACCCGAUGCAAACUGCGAAUACCGGAGAAUGUUAUCACGGGAGACACACGGCGGGUGCUAACGUCCGUCGUGAAGAGGGAAACAACCCAGACCGCCAGCUAAGGUCCCAAAGUCAUGGUUAAGUGGGAAACGAUGUGGGAAGGCCCAGACAGCCAGGAUGUUGGCUUAGAAGCAGCCAUCAUUUAAAGAAAGCGUAAUAGCUCACUGGUCGAGUCGGCCUGCGCGGAAGAUGUAACGGGGCUAAACCAUGCACCGAAGCUGCGGCAGCGACGCUUAUGCGUUGUUGGGUAGGGGAGCGUUCUGUAAGCCUGCGAAGGUGUGCUGUGAGGCAUGCUGGAGGUAUCAGAAGUGCGAAUGCUGACAUAAGUAACGAUAAAGCGGGUGAAAAGCCCGCUCGCCGGAAGACCAAGGGUUCCUGUCCAACGUUAAUCGGGGCAGGGUGAGUCGACCCCUAAGGCGAGGCCGAAAGGCGUAGUCGAUGGGAAACAGGUUAAUAUUCCUGUACUUGGUGUUACUGCGAAGGGGGGACGGAGAAGGCUAUGUUGGCCGGGCGACGGUUGUCCCGGUUUAAGCGUGUAGGCUGGUUUUCCAGGCAAAUCCGGAAAAUCAAGGCUGAGGCGUGAUGACGAGGUACUACGGUGCUGAAGCAACAAAUGCCCUGCUUCCAGGAAAAGCCUCUAAGCAUCAGGUAACAUCAAAUCGUACCCCAAACCGACACAGGUGGUCAGGUAGAGAAUACCAAGGCGCUUGAGAGAACUCGGGUGAAGGAACUAGGCAAAAUGGUGCCGUAACUUCGGGAGAAGGCACGCUGAUAUGUAGGUGAAGUCCCUUGCGGAUGGAGCUGAAAUCAGUCGAAGAUACCAGCUGGCUGCAACUGUUUAUUAAAAACACAGCACUGUGCAAACACGAAAGUGGACGUAUACGGUGUGACGCCUGCCCGGUGCCGGAAGGUUAAUUGAUGGGGUUAGCGGUAA